UAGGGGGCGGCAAACUUUACUUUUGCCUAGGGCGGCAAAAAUCCUUGCACCGGCCCUGGCUGGAGGGGGCUGUGUGAGCUGUAGCCGCACAGUGUCCCAUGGUAGUUAGGGUGCCGUGCGGCCAGUACAGCUCACACAAGCAAACAGCUGAUAAACUGGCCGCACGGAGGAAAUGUGUAUGUGUGACUGUCUGCCUGUGACUGUAUGUGACUGUCUGCCUGUAACUGAGUGUGUGACUGUCUGUAACUGGGUGUGUG